GAUGAAGAACGUAGCGAAAUGCGAUAAGUAAUGUGAAUUGCAGAAUUCAGUGAAUCAUCGAGUCUUUGAACGCACAUUGCGCCCGCUGGUAUUCCGGCGGGCAUGCCUGUUCGAGCGUCAUUUCAACCCUCAAGCCCCCGGGUUUGGUGUUGGGGAUCGGCUCUGCCUUCUGGCGGUGCCGCCCCCGAAAUACAUUGGCGGUCUCGCUGCAGCCUCCAUUGCGUAGUAGCUAACACCUCGCAACUGGAACGCGGCGCGGCCAUGCCGUAAAACCCCAACUUCUGAAUGUUGACCUCGGAUCAGGUAGGAAUACCCGCUGAACUUAAGCAUAUCAAUAAGCGGAGGA
rnacentral:misc_RNA from 1 species